UACCAGCACCCCGAGUGGUCGGGACGUUUAUUGGGCCUAAAGCAUCCGUAGCCGGUUCUACAAGUCUUCCGUUAAAUCCACCUGCUCAACAGAUGGGCUGCGGAAGAUACUAUGGAGCUAGGAGGCGGGAGAGGCAAGCGGUACUCGAUGGGUAGGGGUAAAAUCCGUUGAUCCAUUGAAGACCACCAGUGGCGAAGGCGGCUUGCCAGAACGCGCUCGACGGUGAGGGAUGAAAGCUAGGGGAGCAAACAGG
rnacentral:rRNA from 1 species